ACUCGACCGGCGGAGUUCGCUUUCGAGUCGCGAGUACCAUCCAUUCCAAAUUUGUAUUUUCCCGAAAUAGAUCUGGUGGCGUCCGUCGGAUCGGUUACUCAAACGUGCACCGACCUGCAGCUUGAAGCGGCUCGGAGUGCAAGACUCGCACUGGAGUCCCUGAAGGCUCUUAUGUAAGGAGCGCUGUAAACCGCGCUGCGUGACGGUCGUAUCGAAAAUAAACGUAUACGCAGAACAGACCGUCGUCGGGCGCCACAUGUGCGCGCUCCCGUCAGAGUCCCGAUGAUCGCUGGAGGGGAGACUAUUAUUAGUAGAACAGCAUCCACCACUGUCACCUCCCGCGGGGUAGUCGCUCUAUACAUAGUUUUCAUCGCAAGAUCUGGCGAUCCUUAGCGUUCACUGACCUCCCCUGAAACGAUCUUACACCAUUUCUCAAAUAUAUAUUUAAACCUAGUGCUAUGUGCGCAAAGGAAAAGUUCUAUUGAAACAUAAUAGCGUAGUCAUGGGUACACUGUUUGUAUAUUUGAACUAUCGAACUACGUUAGUGUAUUGUGGUCGAGAAUUUCCGUUGUUGGCUGUAAAGCUUGCCUCUCCGUUCACUCAGUCAAUAAAAGAAUUUUGGCAAACUUUCAUAGACAAACAAGUGGGAAGACAGCCAACUCAUCUUUUGUGUUUCGAAGCAACAUAGUUUUAGAUGUGUUUGCUGGAAAGUAAUAUUGAUGCUGGGCGAAGAAUGGCUGUGGACGGCCGUCUAUUGAAUAUCAAUGUGACAUUGUUAUUGGUCACUGUUGCCCCAAUCGCAUAUUAACAUAACUUACUAUUCUGAAUCCGCGGGGAAUCAGCUCAAUGUUAUAGAAUAUGAUCAUUCAGGUCACCUACUUGUGUUAAAACCUAUUAAAAUUGUCACAAAUUCACGCAACUGUGCCUUAGCUCAGAUAUAGCUGUGAUAGUCUGGAAUAAGUUAUACCUGUCGAACAUAUUUAAUUACAAGUAUAAAACUACAUAGUUAUGAAAAAAUGUUUCUAAAAUUCAAUAGCGACUUUUUAUGAAUUUCUAAAAUUUAUUUCUGAGAGUACAAAAUUGACAAUAUUAUAUAAAAAACAAAUUAAUGUCUGUCGAUAUUUUAACCAAACAUGUAUAAUUAUUCCAAAAUAAUUAAUUUUGUAUAUGAAUAAAAAAAAUUGAAAAUAUCACUCGAAACAUGAUAUAAAAUAUUCUCUUAUGUACAUAAAACUUAUUAUUCUUGUACAUAACUGUAACUGAAACAAAACACACACUUUCUAAGAAUUAUCCCAGCAACUAAAGCAGUGAAACAAUGAGCAACUUCUUUCGCCGCAGGGCUGUAACAAUCUAAUUGUUUUAUUAUAAAAUUAGAAAAAAAAAUCUAAUUCCAUUGACAUUUCUUUGAUAUGUUAUUUUAUUACAUCGGAGUCUUAUAAUAUUCCUAUUUUUAUAUAUUUUUUUGUGAAAAUCAAUAUCAUUUCGCACAGCCCUGUAUAUGUUUCAGUCAAUGUUCGGUAACUUUUAUCAGAACUUGAGAUUUUACAGAGCCAGUAAUUCAGAACUUCUGGCACUACUUAUAUUCUAUAGUCUGCGAUUUAAUAUUAUUGAAUUUGUGGACCAGUUUGUAAGUCAUUAAUUAUAUAACUUAAGACAAUCAGUUUUAAAGGAAAUAGUCUUACAUUUUGUUAUGAUUUACAAUUUAUAAUUGGAAAAAAAUGCUUGAAUGAUUCGCCUUUUUAUUCAGUCUUUAUAUUAGAAAUGUAUACUUAGGUAUAUUUCGUUGCACAUAGUAAAUUAAAUUGUAUAAAACGUUCGGAUUGGAGAAACUAUCAUCAGUUUUAUUUAUAUUAAACAAUAUAUAUGUUAUUAAGGAAAUUACUAUGUAGUUUCUAGCAAACAUACGUGUGUUUUUUUUCUAAGAAUUGUGUCAGAAAAAAAUAUAAGAUUCCACCCUGAA